CAAACUUUCUCCUCGGUUGUUUAAAUUUCCUCUCAAUACACUCACUCACAUCCGGUAUUCUAACAAAGCCAUCUUUCGAUCAUCUUUCCUGUACCCUACAGAGCUGCUCCAGCCUGGACUAGUUUAUUUCUAGGCUGAGUACAUGGCUAUACUUGGAUCUCCCUUUGCCUUUAUCUCUGGGAUUUCCUUUGCUCUUUCUUGGAUUGACGUUCUCAUUUCCCAGACUCCAUGUCUUCCUCUUUCUUGCUUUGCCUCAUAAUUUUGGACUUACCUAGUAGCUUCUUCUUCUUUUUUUUUUUUUUCCUUUUUCACAUCAGAUGGGAAAUGUGCCAACGUCACAACAAGGUUUGAGGGAGGCACAUCUCAUGCUCGGACAUGAACACCCGAUCAUCAUGCUUAUGAACUACAAAAGGAUCUCCAGUAUGGGCUCACGGCAGUUGGCCCUUGAAUAACAUGAAUUUGAACUGCCUGAGUCUGCUAAUAUGUGGAUUAUCUUCUGCUUCUGCACCCUGAGACAGCAAGACCAACCCUUCCUCUUGCUUCUUUUCCUUAGCCUAUUCAACGUGAAGAUGACUAAGGUUUCCCAGGAUGUACAGAGAAGUCCAGCCUCACCGUAGCACCUGAGCAGUGGGUGGGAAAUAGCUGAGGGACACAUCUCAAUCGAUGAACCAGCACUCCUGAUUCUCUGCAGCCUGCAAACUUCGGGUAAGAGGGGUAAUGGAAUUAGUAGUUCCCAGAUGGCCCUUGGAGGGUGUACUGGGUUGACUCGUGGCCCUCCACAAGAUAUGUCCAAGUCCUAAUCUUUUGUAACUGUGAAUGUGACCUUAUUUGGAAAUAAGUCUUUACAGAUGUAAUUAAGGAUCUUGAAAUAAAAUCAUUCUGAAUUUAGGGUGGGUCCUGUAUCAAAUGAGUAAUGUCUUUAUGAAAAAAAAAAAGAGGGGGAGAUUUGAGGCACAGAGACAAAUCAUUCUGAAUGUAGGGUGGUUCCUGUAUCCAAGCAGUAGUGUCUUUAUGAAAAAAAAAAAAAAAGAGAGAGAGACAGAGGGAGAUUUGAGGCACAGAGACACAGGGAAGAAGGCCAUGUGGAGAUGGAGGCAGACAUUGGAGUGGUGCUGCCACAGCCGGGGAAGGCCAGGAGCUAUCCAAAGAUGGAAGUGACCAGGAAGGAUUCUUCUCCAGGGCCUUUGGAGGAACAGUGGUACUAGCAACACCUUGAUUUUGGACUUCUAGCCUCCAGAACUGUGAAAGAAUACAUUUCUGCUGUUUUCAGCCAUGUAGUUUGUGGUAAUUUGUUAUGACAGCCGUGGGAAAAGAAUCCAGCAGAGAAGAUGUGGGGCCUGAAAUAACUGCUGGGUCAGCAGAGGCCUGGCUUAGUACUGAUUGUACAGAGACAUCUCAGCUGGAGGAAAGGGCAAGAACCACACUUUUCAGCAGCAGGUGCCAGCUUAUUGCCCCAAAGGGUGGGGAGGCACUCAUUGUGCCAGAGAAGAUACCUGUGCUGGGUCCCGGAGACCCGCCCAGCUCAGCUGCCUCCUAGGGAAGAUUUGCCUUCCAUGAAGGAGGUCUUACAUAUGAGGUCUCGUCUCUAGCUACUGCAAGAUAAAAGCUUUCUUUUGCACCCAGGCAUGAAAAAACCCUGAAAAACUGAGCGUUUGCUUCUCAGCGACUCAGCUUGAAAGAGGCUGUUUUAAACUGGAAGAGGUUGAGAGGCCUUCAGUUGGUGAGUUUAUUAUUUUCCCUUGCUCCUCUGUGAAAUGAAGCUCAUGAAGAAGCGUAGGUCAGGUACAGAAUAUAAAAGAAUGACCUUUUCUUUUUCCUGGACAAUUUAAGUGCACUGUCAUCUCACAACCUCAAACUCUUUAAUAUGGUAAUGAGAGGCAAAAGGCAUUUUAAUUUGGAGCUAUGUCGCAGUUUUCCAGCAUGUGAAGAAAGCAUCCUCAGUUGCCAAAAGGUCACGUGUGGGAUUAGUUGCUAGGCUGUGGGAUUAUUUUUCUAGGCUUGCUGGGGAAAAGGGCAAAAGAGAAGAAGCAAACUAGCAGAGUCAUGUGGCGUUUCUGUCCUGGGACUUACGCAAAUUAUGCAAUUGUCCUUUGCAUUCAAAUCUGUUCCUCUUCCACCUGAUAUUUUGCUGAGGGGACAAGUGAAAUUCCAAAGCUCAGUUUGCUGAAGUGUGCAAAAUGCUAAUCAGCUUCCACAGCCCACAAAGUGGCAGAGAGGGCGUGCCUCUCUGGAGAAGAGAGGAGAGACUGGACUAGGAGCUGGGAGGAGUCUGGCUGACUCAGCGGCCCCAGACAAACGCACUUCCAUCCUUUCCCAUUUCCGUUGUGAACUCUUCUCCGUGGGCAAGAAGAGGACUCAGAACAACUGCUAUCUUUUUACAAAGAAGGAUGAUGUGCAAGGGGGUCAUUUACAAGAGGAUCAAGGGUUUGGCUAUGUUGGGAGAUGCUGAUUUUGAUAAAUGUUUCCAUAUCUCUACAAAUGUGCCUUUCUGAGUCUCCAGUUAGACUUGAAAAAGACUUUGGAGAUUGUCCCCUGCACAGUGGCUCUGAGCCUGGACACCUAGGAGAUGCUCAGUAAAUAUCUGUUAAAUAAAUGAAGGAAUGGAUAUAGUCCAAACUACUUGGUCAUGCAUCCAGUUUGUGGCAGAUUUGGGUCUCUAAGGCCCAGUACACUAAUCACUCAGCUGGGAGUUUUUAUUCUGUUCCAUCUUGCUGCUAGGACAACUGUAGCCACCCAGAAGGAUGUCUCAACGCUCUGGAAAGUUCUCUGGCUGAAUGUUGCUAUGAUACAAUCUUUUAACAAGCUGAUUGCUCAGUAGCAAGAGCAAGUGCUAUUUAUGUUGGGUAAAUAAGAAGAAAUGCUGCCCUACUGAUAUUUGUUAAGUGCCCCUUUAAUAUUUGUGAGGAGGCGAUCUUGACAAAAUUUUGAGAGUGUAUACACUGGCAAAUUUUACCUUUUAUGGACUGUAAUAUCCUAUUGCUACUUGAUUUAAAAAUCUUUCCCUCUCUUCACAUAUAUCCAUAUGAAAAAAAACAGCAGAGAGAGAUAUAUGUAUAUUAUAUGGGAGAUAUCUAUCUAUCAUCUAUCUAUCUCCCACUUAUGACCUGAAAGCCCCGUCUUUGAGAUGUUCUGCCUUUCCAGCCUAAAUCAAUGUAUACCUUACAUGUAUUGAUUUAUGUCUUUGCCUGUAACUUCUGUUUUCCUAAAAUGUAUAAAACUAAACUGUAAUUCAGUCACCUUGGGUACACUUUCUCAAGCUUUCUUGAGACUGUUUCCCAGGCCAUGGUCAGAAUAAAC
rnacentral:lncRNA from 10 species